CAGCGGCGGAGCCAGAAGUUCCUGGUGGUUGGCCUGAGGCCAGUCUUUGAGGCCGGACCCCGGGCAGUUUCGACGUCUACUGUGAGCCGGCUGUGGCCCCCACCUUCGUCUGCCCUGGUGUUGUACUCCACUGUCAUCAUGCCAGUCUUGAAGUGCCUAUAAGUGACUGAGAGCCUCCUUGGGAGGCUCAGUGAAGUGUGCAGCAUCAAAGAGGCAGAAAGAAAAGACCUUUGAAACCAGGAAGCAGAAAGGCCAGGCUGACUACUAUGUCUCUUGAUUCAAGAGAAGGAAAAAUUUCAGGACUGAAUUGAAGGAAUGGCAGAACAAAAUGGACCCAGUACCAAUUUUGGAUUGAAGCUGUGUUCAGCUUGUGUCUACAAGUGGCCAGAAGGAAUGAAUCAAGUCUUAAGAAUGGAACACCCAUCACAGGAGUGGACACAUGGAAGCACCAGGAACAGUACAGAACGGAAGUUCUCCCUCAAGGAUCUUUACUGAUGACUUGGAAAAGCAGAUGCAGAA